CGUUAACAUUUAAGUUCCAACCUAAAACCUUCCCGCGGUGAAGCUGCUGUCUCCGGGUUACUCCUUUCGCAAUUUUCAGAGCGUAACUGCUUCAGUUACGGUAGACGUUGUGAUGACUUUGGCCCAUGGGAAUCAUUGUAAUUGUAAUUGGAGACCUGAAGUCAAGUCCGAAUUCUUGACCGUUUCCUAGCUGAAUGAACUACAAGAAGGUACACCAUGCCUGAGAUUGGAGUCUCUGUAUUUAAAAAGGCCCCAACAAUACUCAUCUUUCUUUACUUUCAUUAUACUCAGAAAAUUUUCUUUGUGGUUGCUUGAGAAGCUGCCGUCUUAGGAUUUACAAAUGUUCUACUGCUUCUAACUCCUGAUUACUGUGAUAAAGAGAUUUGUUUCCUCAA